rnacentral:lncRNA from 1 species
CACAGCUUUAUUGAAGCAGAGAGUCGUGGUCCCAUCAUCAGGGUUGCCUAGUAACCGGUCUACGCCACACCACAGAGUUUCAGAAUGGGCUGGACCACACACAAGUACCCAUUUUGGGGGAUUUCCAGUGGCAGUCCUACUCUCACUCCAUCACAUCACUUCUAAAAUCUGAGUCACAUGGUUCAAAUUUCACAGUACAAAGUGUGUUCUUGAGAUCUGGGGUUCUCUCCAAAAUGGAUAAUCAUUAUUGGUUUUGUAAUGCAAUGCCAAGACCAUCAAUAAGAUUCAAGGACCAGCCUUCAUUGGAGUUGGGGUGGAAGCUACAUGCUUGUGUCAAGGGUUGUAAUCCCAAGUCUAGUGCUGUUUUCUGCGAACAAUAUCAUUGUAAACACAUUGAAUGUGUCUGAAUGGGAUUCACAUAACCUAUUCAAAGAUUGAUGUCACAAGACUGAUACUGAGCUGGAAGCUCUGAAAUGUACUUGUGCUCAGGGAAGAUAUUUGCUAAUGUUUGGCUUUAAUUUCCCCUGGAACUUGUACACAUCAGUAAGGCCUGGGGAUAAUGAAUAACAGCAUGGACAAUAAAUUUUAAAACAAACAAAAUAAAAACUCAAAGAACAUUAAUGCAGACCAGUGCUGGGAUACGAUGUGUGUUACAAGAGAGUAAUG